AAUUCUCUUCUAAUCGUUUCGCCUCCAGCGCUGCAAUUUUCAGAUGGAUUUGGCUGUAGAAGACGAUAUCCACAACUCAUAGAUCCCUUUCGUAUUUCUUUUGUCAAAUCCCAGCAAUAUUAGUCUUCUCUCACCGUUACACAACAUAAUAAGAAGGUAACGAUUGUUAGAUUCUUUUUAGGGUCAAUGAUUAUCAAUGUGUUCUUUUGUUUUCUUUUAUGUAUUUGGUUCAAUUAAGCCAUAGGGUUGGAUUUAGAUUUUUUAUCUUAUCUUGAGAAGGGAUAUGUUGGAUUUGAUUGAUGUUUUAUUGUUUGAUUGUUUAAAUAAUUUAUAUAAUUAUUUGUUAUUUUUUUUUACAAUCUGAAGUUAAAUUGGGAAAGAAUGAAUAUAUAAUGAAUAGGAAAAAAGAAACACUUUAAUUGGCAAUUUGUGAAGAAAUAAUGGACCGUUAUUGUACUGUUCUUUUUUUUCCUUCUAUAUUUAUUCUGAAAUAUCUCUCCAUCUCUCACAAACAAUAAAGCAAUUGAGUUUUGAAAUGAGUUUUUGGUGAUCUUUGACUUGAUAUGCCGUGGGAUUUUAUCAAUAAUAAAAAUGUUAUUGUGAUUCAUAUUUACGUCUCUUGAUUUAUAAUUUAAAAAACAAUUAUGUAACUCUUGUGGACGAAAAAUUGAUAUAUUUUUGCCGGUAUGCAGGUCUUGGUUACACACACUCGUCGAACGAAUAUAUAUUGUUGGCAUCGUAAUCUACUACAUGAUUAAUAAAUUUGGUAUAGUUUAAUAGUGGAUUUUGAUAGUUACAUAGUUGAUUACGUAAAUUUGGUUGGGGAGUAAGUUAAUUUUCUACAGGAUUUUGAUAACUUUGUAGUAGAUUUCAAUAAAUGGAUUUCGAAACUAUAUAGUGGAUUUCGAUAACUUUAUAGUGGAUUUCGAUAACUUUGUAGUGGAUUUCAAUAAAUGGAUUUCAAAACUAUAUAGUGGAUUUCGAUAACUAUAUAGUGGAUUUCGAUAACUUUAUAGUGGAUUUUCAUAACCAUAUAGUGGAUUUCGAUAACUAUAUAGUGGAUUUCGAUAACUUUAUAGUGGAUUUUCAUAACCAUAUAGUGGAUUUCGAUAACAUUUGAGUGGAUUUUAAGUUGCUUUGAAAAGGGAUAUUUUGAAUGGAUUGAAUUGACAUGUCUUUGAUUUCUUUUUCUUUGUUAUAGUUUCUUGACAGGCGGAGCGAUGUCGGUGAGGAGGGAUGUUAGAUAAUGCGACCAGGUUAAGGAUGUUUUGUGUAAACGGGGGAAAAAGGUUGCAGAGGCCACUAAGGAGACUGGAGACUUGGCUGGAAACAUGUGGCACUGCUGUGAGUUCCACGGGAGAGGUGUUUUAAUUGAACCCGUGUUUUGGUCGUGCGUGAAUGACACUGAAGUGGUGGUGUUGCCGUAGUAUAUCUCCCGGAAUGACGUCGUGCGGGCCUUUUUGGGGUUGGUGGUGUUGCACUUUUCCGUGGACAAAAUAGUUGAUUUAUGUUUUGAAUAGUGGAUUUGCGACUUUAUUUGUUGUUAUUUUUUGAGUUGUGUUAAUUGUAGUGAAUUACGUUCCUUCGUAAUGGAUUACGUAUGUUUUUAGUGGAUUUUGAUAAGUUUGUUGGGGACUAUGUUAAUUUCACAGUGAAUUUUAUGGUAAUUUUAUAGUGGUUUUCAAAAAUUUAUAGUGGUU
rnacentral:lncRNA from 1 species